ACCUGCCCCUGAAAAUUUUAAUGGCCGCAGUAAUUUGACUGUGCAAAGGUAGCAUAAUCAUUAGUUUUUUAAUUAAAAGCUUGUAUGAAGGGUUGGACGAGAUAAAAUCUGUCUUUAUUUAAAUAAUAUAUAAUUUAAUUUUUAAGUUAAAAAGCUUAAAUUUUUAUAAAAGACGAGAAGACCCUAUAGAUCUUUAUAUUAUUAUAUUAUAAUUUUGUUUAAGAAUUUUAAUUUUUUUUUAUUUUAUAUAAUAUUUUAUUGGGGUAAUAAAAAGAUAAAAAAAAUUCUUUUUAAUAUUUAACAUUAAUUAAUGAAUUUAUGAUCCAAAUAUUUUGAUUAUAAGAUUAAGUUACCUUAGGGAUAACAGCGUAAUUUUUUUAGAGAGUUCAUAUCGAUAAAAAAGUUUGCGACCUCGAUGUUGGAUUAAAAAUUGUUUUAGGCGCAGAAGUUUAAAAAUUUGGUCUGUUCGACCAUUAAAUUUUU
rnacentral:rRNA from 1 species